UGGGGAAUAUUGCACAAUGGGCGAAAGCCUGAUGCAGCGACGCCGCGUGAGGGAUGACGGCCUUCGGGUUGUAAACCUCUUUCAGUAGGGACGAAGCGCAAGUGACGGUACCUGCAGAAGAAGCACCGGCUAACUACGUGCCAGCAGCCGCGGUAAUACGUAGGGUGCGAGCGUUGUCCGGAAUUACUGGGCGUAAAGAGCUCGUAGGCGGUUUGUCACGUCGUCUGUGAAAUCCUAGGGCUUAACCCUGGACGUGCAGGCGAUACGGGCUGACUUGAGUACUACAGGGGAGACUAGAAUUUCUGGUGUAGCGGUGGAAUGCACAGAUAUCAGGAAGAACACCGAUGGCGAAGGCAGGUCUCUGGGUAGUAACUGACGCUGAGGAGCGAAAGCAUGGGUAGCGAACAGG
rnacentral:rRNA from 1 species